rnacentral:lncRNA from 1 species
AGGAGUGCUUUUACGGAUAUUCCGAAUGCUGACGACCUGGUCCACGCUCAGGUGUUCCAAGAUAUGGCUCGUUCUUACGCUCAGGUUCUUCUUCUCUCAUUUCUUUGUAUGUGUAGUGCUUUCUUGUUUUUUCAACGCUUGAUCAUUGGUUUAUUUUGCUUAGUCGAAGGUUCAUGCGGUGCGGCUCGUAUAUCUCUACGAGAAGGAUCUGAAGAGA